rnacentral:rRNA from 1 species
CAGCAGCCGCGGUAAUACAGAGGUCUCAAGCGUUGUUCGGAUUCAUUGGGCGUAAAGGGUGCGUAGGUGGCGCCAUAAGUCGGGUGUGAAAUUUCGGAGCUUAACUCCGAAACUGCAUUUGAUACUGCCUUGCUUGAGGACUGGAGAGGAGACUGGAAUUCACGGUGUAGCAGUGAAAUGCGUAGAGAUCGUGAGGAAGACCAGUGGCGAAGGCGGGUCUCUGGACAGUUCCUGACACUGAGACACGAAGGCCAGGGGAGCAAACGGGAUUAGAUACCCCGGUAGUCCUGGCAGUAAACGGUGCACGUUUGGUGUGGGGGGAUUCGACCCCUUCCGCGCCGGAGCUAACGCGUUAAACGUGCCGCCUGGGGAGUACGGUCGCAAGAUUAAAACUCAAAGAAAUUGACGG